rnacentral:rRNA from 1 species
UACGGAGGGGGCUAGCGUUGUUCGGAAUUACUGGGCGUAAAGCGCGCGUAGGCGGACCUGCAAGUCGGGGGUGAAAGCCCGAGGCUCAACCUCGGAACUGCCUUCGAUACUGCGGGUCUCGAGUCCGGAAGAGGAGAGUGGAAUUCCUGGUGUAGCGGUGAAAUGCGCAGAUAUCAGGAAGAACACCCGUGGCGAAGGCGGCUCUCUGGGACGUGACUGACGCUGAGACGCGAAAGCGUGGGGAGCGAUCAGG